GGGCAGACUAUGAAAAGCCUGGAUACAUUAGAUGCAUACUUCCCUCUCUCUUUUUCCUUCAGGGAGAUGUUACAAGACAAGAUGAUUUCACUGGAAGCUGAGUUUUGCCAGCUUUGGGGAAAUGCUGAUGCAGAACAUCAUUUAUUUAAGGCUGAUACUCAUGGAUAGAAGAGUCAAAGUGCGAAUAUAUGCACCCUUCUAUACGGAUUCUGCAGAAAGAUAUGCUUGGGUCAUGACUCAGGGUAUAUUUCUUCCUCUUAAAGUGUACCUUCCCUGGAGCUUCAGCCUAAUGCCUGAGGUCCUCAGUGAGGUCCCUCCAUUCUUCCUAUCUAAGCUGAAACUUCAACAUCUUCAGGAGUGUGUGACACCUGGUUGUUUUGGCUGUAUGAAAGUGUGUGUGUGUGUGUGUGUGUGUGUGUGUGUGUGUGUGUGUGUGUGUAUUUCAAUUCAAAUAUACUUGAUUCACACAACAAUGAUGCCACAAGCUCCAUACCCAAACAUCAGUGAUGAAAGUGACUGGACCUGAGAAAGACUUUGCCUAAGGAAACAAUGACUGAGUGCUGCUAUGGUUUGAACGUCGCCUUCAAAACUCUUGUUGAAACUUAAUCCCCAUUGUGAAAAUAUUCAGACAUUGGGCCUUAAGAAGUCAUUGAAAUCGAUUAAUCCAUUCUUGAAUUAAUGGAUUAAUGCUUAAAUAUGGAUGGGCUUGAAACUAGUGGUUUUAUAAGAAGAGAAAAACAGACAUAAGCUGGCAUGUUAGCAUGCUCAGCACUUUCCACCACGUGAUGCCCUGGUGCCACCUCAGGACUCUUCAAGAAUACCCACCAGCAAUAAGUCUCUCACCAGAUCAGCCCCUAGACCUUAGACUUAUCAGCUUCCACAACUGUAAUAAAUUUUUUUUAUUUAUAGAUAUUCAGUUUCAGGUAUUCUGUUAUAAAAAUAAAGCAGACUAAGACAGCUUCAUAAUGGACUCAUGCAAUUUAGAAGAUAUAAUGAUUUACCUUGGCUUAUCAAUUAAAAGUAUAUGUCUAGUCUUAUAGUCAAAUAAGUCAUUCAUUUCUAUUAUGCCUUAGAGACAGUAUAGAAUAUAGAAAGUAUUUGAUGUAAAUAUUUUAAAUAUCUAAUUAACAACUUGUGAUUGUAAGAUACUUGCUUACAUAACACAUACACACACAGACAUCUGGAAAUCAAGGAUUAUAGAUUUUUUAUUUAUUUCCAACCCUUGAAAGAAUUCCCUGGUAUAAAGUGGAAACCUUAAUUUGUUGAUCAAAUAACUAAAUAUUAAAAAUUAAAGACUAAAGCUUUUAAAAUGCAUUUGAAAGAUAGUUUGAUGUUUACUUUCAAUUUGUUCUGAUGUGAACUUGGCUUAGUAUCAUACAGUAGGAUUUAAUCCUGAGUAGGACUAAUUUCAUGGGUGAUGAAUUACCUGAAAAGCAUUUAAGUGGACAGUAGCUCAUAUGAUUUUAUCUUUAAUUAAAAUUGCAUAUUUUCUUGAUUGUGAAAAUUUGUGGUUAAUUGCAAUUAGCAGCAUCUUCAGAAUACACAAUGAGAAACACAAAGUGAUUCCAAUGCUACAUGUAGGUAAUUUUGAGGUAAAUUCACAGGUCUUUAUGGCUCUUAUGCAGCCUACCAUAGGCUCCAAACUUCAGUCUUUUACUUUUGUUUUAGCUCUUGCUUUAGUCUGAAUGUUGGUGUCCCACCAAAAGUUCACAUAUUGGAAUUUAGCCUCUAAAAUGAUGGUAUUAAGAAGUGGAACCUUUGGAAAGUGAUUAGGUCAUGAUAAUUCUCAUUCAUCAAAAUCACUCAUCAAAGUGAUUCUCAUGAAUGGGAUAAAUGCCCUUUUAAAAUCACUUGAAAAAGUCUGAUUAUCCUUUCUGCCCUGCCCCUUUAGCCCUGUGAGGUCAUUGUGGGAAAGCACUGUCUAUGAGGAGUGAUCCCUCACCAAAUACCAAAUCUGCCAGUGGCUUUAUUUUGGACUUGCCAACCUCUAGAACUGUGAGAAAUAAAUGCCCAGUGUUUAUAAAAUGUCCUGUGUAAGGUAAUUUGUUAUAGCAGCAAGAAUGGACUAAGACAUCCUUCUUCCAUAGUGACCAAUAUAAUUGGCAGAAAGUAUCCCCAUUGACUGGAUCAUUUUGUAGAAUAGCCACAGAUGAUUGCCCUGGUUAAAAAUUUGAGUAAAAAUGAGUCUAUGAUCCUUUAUUAGCUCUAUAGCCCAUCUGCUUUACUCUGUCAGCUAUAUUUUUCAGGAUUCUUUGUCAUUAGUCUUCUGGUUGAGUUCAGCCAAUGAAAGUCACUGGCAGGAGAAAACGGGAAGCCAGUGUAUUUUUGACACUCAUGAUCUCUUAGUGGCAAUAGUUGUUACCUGAAAUCCAAAUUUAACUAGGAGUCCUGCUUGUAAUUUAGCCCAGGAUCUCACCUGCAGACUAGCUUGCUUCUCUGUCUGUCUUCUCUGUAUCUUCAGGUAGCAAUACCUCCUCUCUUUACCCCAUUAGCCUAGUGGUGGCAACAGCUUCUAGUGUUGCCACCUCUAGGGCACCUCAUUAUAGCUUUCAUUAUUUCUGUAUUCCUGAU
rnacentral:lncRNA from 1 species